CGGAGCUGAUCAAAUCCUGUGCGCAUCUCCGCUUGUCAGCCAACAUCGGGAGUUUGCGCAUCAAGGGCAAGUCCGUGCUAUCCCAAGCUCGAUCUGAUCCCUCAGCUCUGGGAGGUGGGCCUCAGUCUCUGCUGAUGGAAAAAUACAGUUUUUUGUCAUGGCAUCUUCUACGCUCAUGAGGAAAAAAUCUUACUAGAAAGGGAGGUGUACAGAAACUCAAACCUUAACCAAUCUGUAAAAAUGUAGUAACAAAUAAAGGAUGACAAAG